rnacentral:misc_RNA from 1 species
GAUGAAGAACGUAGCAAAAUGCGAUAAGUAAUGUGAAUUGCAGAAUUCAGUGAAUCAUCGAAUCUUUGAACGCACAUUGCGCCCCUUGGUAUUCCGAGGGGCAUGCCCGUUCGAGCGUCAUUAUACCCCUCAAGCCUAGCUUGGUGUUGGGGCCUGCUGUUACCGGCAGCCCUUAAAAUCAGUGGCGGUGCCAUCUGGCUCUAAGCGUAGUAAUACUUCUCGCUACAAGGUCCCGGUGGAUGCUUGCCAUCAACCCCUAAUUUUCUAUGGUUGACCUCGGAUCGGGUAGGGAUACCCGCUGAACUUAAGCAUAUCAAUAAGCGGAGGA